AGCGAACGCUGGCGGCAGGCUUAACACAUGCAAGUCGAGCGGGCAUCCUUGUGGUGUCAGCGGCAGACGGGUGAGUAACGCGUGGGAACGUGCCCUUCGGUUCGGAAUAACUCAGGGAAACUUGAGCUAAUACCGGAUACGUGCGAGAGCAGAAAGGUUUAUCUGCCGAAGGAUCGGCCCGCGUCUGAUUAGCUAGUUGGUGAGGUUAUGGCUCACCAAGGCGACGAUCAGUAGCUGGUCUGAGAGGAUGAUCAGCCACACUGGGACUGAGACCCGGCCCAGACUCCUACGGGAGGCAGCAGUGGGGAAUAGUGGACAAUGGGGGCAACCCUGAUCCAGCCAUGCCGCGUGAGUGAUGACGGCCUUAGGGUUGUAAAGCUCUUUUCUCCGGGACGAUAAUGACGGUACCGGAGGAAUAAGCCCCGGCUAACUUCGUG
rnacentral:rRNA from 1 species